UUGGACUCAAAUCCUACAUCCAAAAGGACCAAAACUUAUCUUAUCCCCUUUACAUUCAUAUGGAAGGAAUUAUUUAUUCAUAAUUGAGUAUGGAACUCGAUUUUUUCGCAAACAGCGAAGAGAUAGUCAAAUAUUGUACGUCAAAUUGCUUUUGCUGCAUUGAUUGUAGCAAGUAGCAACUAGCAACCAUCGUAAACACACACCGAUACAUAGAUGAUAGAACACACAUCCAGGGACAGAUUUAGAGGGGCAGUGCGGUACUUGUCUUC
rnacentral:lncRNA from 1 species